GAGGACGGAGGACGAACGACGAACGACGACGGAGGACGAACGGGAGCCUGCGACAGCGAAUCUGAGAAGUCUGUUAACCAAAUUCAUUCAAGAUUGUUUGAAGAUCCUAUGAAAUGAAGGACGUGUCUUUUUCGUUUGCCCAACAAAAUAUAGUGCGAACGGAAACUGCAAUUACUUCAGUUGGGCAGAUAAUGACGACGUUACGUCCACAAUUUGUGCCAAUGCUGGACCUCAGACAGAUUCAAGUAGUGCAAAAAUUAAUGAUCUAAGGAGAAGGAAUGACCUGAUGGACAUAACAGUGUCUAAUAUGAAUGUAUUUUAAUUUAUUGUAUGAAGGAACGACCUGAUGGACAUAACAGUGUCCACAAUUUGUAUGAAUGUAUUUUAAUUUUGUUGGUUGAAUGAAUGUAGGCUCUGUUAACAGUGUCUAAUAUUUAAUA